UUCACUCAUACUCCCCGUGGCAUUUGCCUUCCAUGAUGAGAAAAUAAUACAUUCAUAACAUUGUACUGAUUUUGAAAACAGCUUUAAAACUCAAGUAGAACAGCUAAGACGGUGAAGGCCUUACAAGAUGUGUUAAAUUGGGAAUAAGGGAAGAGGCCAAGGCAGUUUAAGUUGCAAAAGAGGAGACAAAAAUGAAAUGUGAAAGAGGAACUUGACUCUUUCACAUUGUCCCCCCAGGCCUUCUAGAAAUAGUCCAGUGGAGAUUAGAUUGAACUUCAGGAAUGUUGCAAACAGAAUUCUUUCCUUGGGUGACAGCGUGGAGCAGAUGAUAUCUAUGACCUGUGCAUUAGACACAGAAAAUUCUGAGUUGUGUAGUUAAAAUACAGAACAUCUUUGGGUAGAUGAGAGAAAUCUGGCAUUGAGCUUUUCCUGUGGCUUUGUCUUCAUUUCACCUGGUGGCACUGCAGCUUCCUGUUUGCUGGGAGUUUUCUGUGAGCUUCCUGCUUGGUCCCUGCUGGUUAAGGAAGUCAGGAGGCCCCCAGGGGAAGAGUGGGGCCUCAGGCAGCUGAGCAGGAGGACUCAGCAACAUGGGCCAAACAUUUUGACUGGCCAAAUGAGGAGAUAAUUUGUUUAUUGCUACUAAGCCUAUGCUAUUCCUUCCUUUUGUUAAUUUUAUAGAAGUUGGGAGUGUGAAAGUAAAAACAUUUACUUUGCGUAGGUUGUUAAAGAACUCACUGAUAAAAGCUCACAUUCGCUUAGUGAGAUCCUGAGCACAGGGCGAACAGAAUAUAAAGCAUCAUUUGGGACCUUGUGUGUUAUCCAGGAGCACAGCUGCCAUGGAGAUUUUCACUGCAUUACAGAGCUGAAGAUUCCUGGGAUCUACUCUAAAGAUGCAGAGCCUGACCAGAUGCUGUGAGGGAGUCACUGCCCGGAAUCAUACAACAAGAUGCUGCUGUGAAAGAGGAAGAGAAAAUGGCUCUCUGUGCUUCUAGAAGCCUGCUGCAGACCCAGCCGCUCAUCAGAAAGCAGAAGUGAGAAAGCUCUGACCCCCUUACCAACGUACUGUGAAUUAUUUUUAGAACCUUUGAGUGUCCUUAUUCUCUGAAAGAAAGAAAGAGUAUGGAUUUCAGACUCCAUCCUGAAUCUCCAGUGCACACAUUUUAUUGAUUGAAAAUGCCACCCUUGGAGCCAGCUGAUUAUGGACUGAAAACUCUG